UUUUUUUCCUAUACUCUAUGUAAGUUACAACUUUUAGUUUGGUUAUUAUAAAUAGUUAAGCAUAUCUUCUCUUUUGCAUCACUCUCAUCUCUUUUUCUUUGACUAUUCCUUCUCCUUUCGUAUGAAAUUUUUUGUACAUGAAUUCUUUUUUUCCUUCUUUUUUAUCGACUUUUUCUUCACGUUAUUAGUGUUUUUGCAAGAGUUAUUUGUUCAUACACAACAUUGGUACAUAACUUUUAUUGGUUAGUUCACGUUAUUAGUGUUUUUGCAAGAGUUAUUUGUUCAUACACAACAUUAGUACAUAACUUUUAUUGGUUAGGGAGUGAGCAAAAGAAGAACAUAUGGCAUUAUUUUGUGGGCAAUAUUUAAGAUUCAACUUCAACCUUGAUACGUACACUUCCAUUUACUCUAG
rnacentral:lncRNA from 1 species